rnacentral:rRNA from 1 species
GUGGGGAAUCUUCCGCAAUGGACGAAAGUCUGACGGAGCAACGCCGCGUGAGUGAAGAAGGUUUUCGGAUCGUAAAGCUCUUUCGUUAGGGACGAACGUGCUCUUUGUGAAUAAUGAGGAGUAAUGACGGUACCUAAAUAAGAAGCCACGGCUAACUACGUGCCAGCAGCCGCGGUAAUACGUAGGUGGCAAGCGUUGUCCGGAAUUAUUGGGCGUAAAGCGCGCGCAGGCGGUAUAUCAAGUCUGUCUUAAAAGUGCGAGGCUCAACCUCGUGAGGUGACAGAAACUGGUAUUCUUGAGUGUCGGAGAGGAAAGUGGAAUUCCAAGUGUAGCGGUGAAAUGCGUAGAGAUUUGGAAGAACACCAGUGGCGAAGGCGACUUUCUGGACGAUGUCUGACGCUGAGGCGCGAAAGCUAGGGGAGCGAACGGGAUUAGAUACCCGGGUAGUCC